GGGCCGGUAGAUUAGUCCGGUAGAUCGUCUCGUUCGCAAAGAGACGCUUGGCGCGAAUUCAAAUCUCGCCCGGUCCACCA
rnacentral:tRNA from 1 species